GGUUGAUAUAUAAAACACUAAAGGAAAUAAACCAAGGCACACAGCACACACAUGAACAUAUGGCUGAAUAUGGCCUUUAGUAGGUAUCAGAAACAAAAUUAGCAACUUGUAGCACUUCAGCUAAGCUUCCUAGCAACAGAAAUACAUAAAUAACAAAUACUUAUGAUGAUUAUCCCUAAAAGUCACUGGAAUAUUAGCAUGUGAUAUUGGUCCCAACUGAUAAAGCAUUAUCCAUCCAUUAAGUUAGACAGGAGAGGUGGCUUAAUGUCAAUAACAUAUCUCAGAAAAAAAAUGUGCUUAUCUCUUGAUUUUUGUAGAUCAAAUCCCACUAGAGGAAUUGGGUAUGUUUGUAGACCCAACCACUUACAUUGAUAAGGCAGUUUUCAAAGUGCUUUUAUAAGUAUUUGCUCAUUGGGUCCUCAGAGUAACCCUGGAGGUAGCUGGUGGCUCACCAGUGUGGCAUGGUUGUGAUGAGGACUACUGUACCAUGCUCUUCGUCAAGCAAAAGGCAGACAGUCACUCUCCACCUUUUUAUAGAUAGAUUGACUGAUUGAUUGAGAUGAGUCUCACUAUGUUGCCCAGGCUGGUCUUCAACUCCUGGGCUCAAGUGAUCUCUCUGCCUUAGCCUCACGAGUACCUGAGACUACAGGUGCGAGCCACCAUGCCUGGCUCAUUCUUCAUUUUAAAAGCAUAAUAAAUACUCUUUAAAAAUUCCAAGGAACGAGAUGUCCCUCUAAACUGCCUUCUUCCUCUUCGUGUAAUUUGACAUUAAGUGUCCUGGUGUGUUAAGCUUGCCUCUAUUUAAAUAGCCCUGCAGAAGGCCAUACCACUCAGGCUUAAGGGGACAGAAGGUACUCUGUCCUGGAAGCAUCAUGACACUAAAAGUUCAUUAAGAUCUCUAUCCCAGCUAUUACACUCCUAAGGUCACUGGGCUCUCCUCAAUAGGUAUAUUAAGCAGCAGCCUCAAAAACAGUCCUCAGUUUUAGGAUGCAAGGAAAAUAAUUCACGAAGGUGAUCAACUUUAAGUUCAAAUUAUAUUCACUCUAGAUUUUAUCAUGGCUCCUGCCCAUGAAUAUACCAUCUUCCAUUCACAUCUAAGGCAACUAGUUCAGGGUGAGAGGAAAUGGGCACUUUAUGAACAUCUGCUAUAUACAAAUCUUUACCCACCUUUUUCCUCCUUUAGAAUUUUUCUAACUCAGUGGACUCUCCAUGAUUCAAAGGAAGUCCUUGAUUUUCACUCCUUCUCACAAGGUUACCUCUUACAGGUAACAGUACCCUCUUGCCUGCAAAGGUCAGGACAAGAGGAUAGAGGAAAAAGCUAAGGGAAUCUCAGAACCGUUUAUGUGCUAAAAUUCUUAGCUUAGAUGUAUAGAUGGACAAGGAAAAGUGGGCAAGAGAAAGUAAAACUAAAAUUUAGGCAAGGAAGCCAAUUACCCAGUAAAGAGGGAGGCUAGCAUCCUAGCAUGAGAGUAUCAGACCAGACUAUCUCAGACCCUUAGUCUUGUGGAUCAAGGCACUGAUGGAGGGCACUGUAGAAAAGUGUUGAAAGCAAUAUGGCAGACACUACUGGAUUGGCAAAUUGCAUCCGCUCCUACCAAAGGAUCACACUCCCAGAAGCUAAAGGAAAGAAAUGGAGAGUGGGAGGUGUAUUUUGGGUAAAAAAGAAAAAGAAGCGCUUGUAUGAAUUUUCAUGUUAUUUCAGUGAAGUCAUAAUAGAACAGCUUCCCUUCCCAGAGCUUGCCCAGAACAGCUAUUUAAAGGGGGAGUGAGAACUGUACAAGCUUUGACUAGAUUCUGAGGUCGGAGCCUUAAUUAGAGUCACAAUUGUAUUGUACAUCUAUUUGUGUAACUGUUCAAUUAGGAGUGUAAUAGCUGGGACAGAGAUCUUAAUGAGCUUUUAGUGUCAUGAUGCUUCAAGACUGCCCUUUUUUGGUUGUUGUUAUUAUUAAGCUUUCAUAUAGGGGCUUUUCCUCUCUGCUGUCCAACUGUGUGGUUCUCCCUUCAGGCAGGUUGAAAUGCAAGACUGAGUCUUGCUAUAUCUAAACUUGGGCAUUAAAAAUGGGCUGUCUUCCCCUUAUCAUCUUCAUGAUUAGCUUGUAAACAGUUUCUUGGGUCUAUCCUGUUAUCAACAAAAACUCUAGGAAUACUGGAAUAUUAGGGCCAAUCUUUUACAGUUGAGAUAAUUGAGAUUCAGAAAGAUGAAGUGAACUACUGGACACAGCACAGAUAGUGACAGAGCCUGGGCUUGCACAUUAGUGUUCUGACCUUUCAGGAACAAAACAAUCACAAUGCCUGUACAUGUCAUAAUAAGGUCAUUCUAACACUACAAUGUACACCAGUACCCAAACUGGAUCAUUCAUUUAAAAAAAAUUCAUUCCCGAAGACAUAGUUUUUGUGGUCUUAAUAGGUAUUUUACUUAAUUUUCCUCUGCCUUUCACUACUUAGACUUGGGUACAAUUAAAGAUGAUAUUUAUAUUUUGUGUUAUAUAGAAUGAACAGCACUCAAACACAUUCUUAUUUAAGCAAAUCUGGCCUACGAAAAGCUGUAUUCAUGAACCCUCACCAAAUAAAUGGUGAGGAUGGUUUUUUGUUUUGGCUUUAGAAAAUGAUUCUCUGCCUUAAUUCCCUCACAUGUAAAAUAGGCAUAAUACUGCCAUCUACCUUACAGGAUUGUUGGGAAGAUUAAAUGAAGUAAUGCAGUUAAACUGUUUAGUAGACUGUUUCGCAGAGCUUCAAACUCAGUCAAUACUAGCUGCUUUUGUUCUUAUUCUUUUCAUUAUCACAAAAGGGUGGCCAGAAGAUUAUGCAUGCCAAC
rnacentral:lncRNA from 1 species